GGGGAUUUAGCUCAGCAGCAUAAGCGCCUGCCUUGGAAGUAGGUAAUCAUGAGUUCAAUCCCCA
rnacentral:tRNA from 1 species